CCUACGUGUGGCAGCAGUGAGGAAUAUUGGUCAAUGGGAGAGAUCCUGAACCAGCCAAGCCGCGUGAGGGAAGACGGCCCUAUGGGUUGGAAACCUCUUUUGUCGGAGAACAAAACACGGGACGUGUCCCGGCCUGCGUUUAUCCGAAGAAAAAGCCCCGGCCAACUACGUGCCAGCAGCCGCGGUAAUACGUAGGGGGCAAGCGUUAUCCGGAUUUACUGGGUGUAAAGGGAGCGUAGACGGGUAAUCAAGUCAGAAGUGAAAUCCCAGGGCUCAACCUUGGGAGUGCAUUUGAAACUGAGUAGCUAGAGUGCAGGAGAGGUAAGCGGAAUUCCGGGUGUAGCGGUGAAAUGCGUAGAUAUUAGGAGGAACACCAGUGGCGAAGGCGGCUUACUGGACUGUAACUGACGUUGAGGCUAGAAAGCGUGGGGAGCAAACAGGAUUAGAUACCCGAGUAGUC
rnacentral:rRNA from 1 species